rnacentral:rRNA from 1 species
UAAGGGGACUGCCGGUGAUAAGCCGAGAGGAAGGUGGGGAUGACGUCAAGUCCUCAUGGCCCUUACGGGCUGGGCUACACACGUGCUACAAUGGUGGUGACAGUGGGCAGCGAGACAGCGAUGUCGAGCUAAUCUCCAAAAGCCAUCUCAGUUCGGAUUGCACUCUGCAACUCGAGUGCAUGAAGUUGGAAUCGCUAGUAAUCGCAGAUCAGCAUGCUGCGGUGAAUACGUUCCCGGGCCUUGUACACGCCGCCCGUCACACCAUGGGAGUUGGUUUUACCCGAAGGUAGUGCGCUAACCGCAAGGAGGCAGCUAACCACGGAGGUGACACC